GAUGAAGAACGUAGCGAAAUGCGAUACGUAAUGUGAAUUGCAGAAUUCAGUGAAUCAUCGAAUCUUUGAACGCAUAUUGCGCUCUUUGGUAUUCCGAAGAGCAUGCUUGUUUGAGUAUCAGUAAACACCUCAAAGCUUUUGGAUUUUUUAAUCGAAAAGCUUUGGACUUGAGCAAUCCCAACACCAAUCUUUUUGAGCUCGGUGGCGGGUUGCUUGAAAUGCAGGUGCAGCUGGACAUUCUCCUGAGCUAAAAGCAUAUUCAUUUAGUCCCGUCAAACGGAUUAUUACUUUUGCUGCAGCUAACAUAAAGGGAGUUUGACCGUAUUGGCUGACUGAUGCAGGAUUUCACAAGGGUCGGCAACGAUUCUUGUUAAACUCGAUCUCAAAUCAAGUAAGACUACCCGCUGAACUUAAGCAUAUCAAUAAGCGGAGGA
rnacentral:misc_RNA from 1 species